UUUAAAGAGACACCAGCAUAUCCCUGAGAACCCUGCAAAUUCCCAUGCCUCUCAAACAGCCCAGAGCUGCCCAGCUGGGAGCAGGUGAGCAGCCCCUGCCCUCCAGACUCUUGGCCAAGCUUGUCCUGGUGCAAACCACAACUCUCCCUUCCCUCACUCUGCAGCUCCUGCCUAAUGAAUGGUCAGCCCUGUACCCCAGGUUUGUCCCAGGUGGUCCCCACUCAUGCUGACAAUUCUUUUGUCCCACAGGGAUUGUGGCUGCAAAGCUGCUGAGCACCAGAGCCAGUGGUGACAAGUCGUGGAGGAGACAUUUUUGGUUUUCUACAGACAAAGAAAUCUUCACCUCACCAGUUUUAAGGCAUAAUCAUCUGUUUUAUUGCUUCCAUUUGUGAUUAUUUUUCUACUCUAACAUCUCCUUUUUGCCCAUUUUAGAGGGAUGGGGCAUUUUUCAUUUUACAGUUUACAGCAAUCCACAGUCAGCUUUACAAUUCAGCUGUACACUGGAAAAGUUAAACAUCCACUCUACUUAUCCAAAGACUGAUAUUUAUUUUAUCUAAAGAAUUUAUAUAAUAUCAACAGUCUGCCUUGGUGCAGCCAAAGAGGCUUAAAAAAUUACUAGCAAUCCCUUUUUUCCACAUCAGAGCCCACAUCCUAAACACUGAACAAAUCCCAUCAGUGUUUAGGGCACAUAAUAUCAUUGUUGUCAAAUCAAUGGUGAAUUUACGUGCUGCUAAUCCUUGGCACUUAGUCAAACAAGCUCAGCAAGUUUUAGCAGCACAAUGCAUUUUAUGUUUUCAUCAAUGGAUUUGCAUAGGGAAUGAGGGAUGCUCUUUGCUUCCCAGCCUGCAGCAGCUCCCGGAGAGUGGAGAGAGCAUCUCACACACACCCAGAGAGCAGGAGAACGGGGACAGGAGCAGGUCUGGAAGUUUACAGCUGCUUAGCAGUGAUGCUUCUCCCCAUCUGUAAAUCUCAGCUUUCAGGCAGAUGAGCAAACGAAACUGCAGUCGGCUGCCCAAGGCUUGGUGUUCUUUCUCCACCUAGAGCACAAAAGGAGGAAUGUUCUGCAGCCACACAGGUCUGAGAGGAAAUCUGUGUAUUUCUGUGCUGUGGAGUGAUUAAAACCUCACUGUCAGUGCUGUUCAGCCUUCCUCUGGGUCUGUGCUGCUUUACAGACCUGUCCCAGGGCUCCUAAAAGAGUUGGUGCUUCUAAAGAGCUGCCUGCUCUUCCCAAUCCAGUUAAAAGCACACCACCAUUCUCUGAAGGACAUGAAGAAGUUUGUUGGGUUUUUUUUUUUCUGAAGACAAGAGUUUCAAGAGGCUGCAACUGUGAAUGAGCCAGUCCUUCAGCUGCGCACUGCUGCAGUUGUGACAAUGUAUUUGCAAGCCCUGAUCCAGGGGGAUGGGUUAUCUCAACCUUCAAAGAUCCAAUUUGGUUGAAGAAAUAAAAAAAUCAGUCAACUAAAUACCUGCUGUGAUCAAUAAAACAUCAAAAAAGAUUGUCGUGUAUCUUUAAAAAAAUGAGGACAACCUUCCCAAAAACUGCAUCUGCCUCUCUGGGAUCCCCAGAACCUGAGAAUUC